AUUAGGCUACAAGCAGAAGCCUGCUGUUUUAAAUCUAGCACUUCAGUGAUUGAGCUUCGUUUGUUAAAAAUUAAACACUAUUGUGUCAUCUAGCAACUGAACUGAGUAAUGACGUUUUAAAGUAAAGCCUCGGUCAUUCAGAAAUGAAUGAACAAAUUAUAAGUGACACAAAAGUUGCCGAGUAAUUUACAAACACACAGUCAUCUCUCACAUUAAUCUUUAAUGGAUUUUAGGUUUAAAUUGCUAUGUGAUGCUGCCGGCUAACCACUAGAUGGCGUUAUAUCACCAUAGCAGAAAAUACAUUUGGAAUUCAUUUCUCAAGUAUCACUGGAAUGUGUUGGCGAUGCCAUACCAGCCAUAUUCAGUUACACAUCUGGACUGGCAUGUGGGUCUAAGUGUCCCCACUCGUUCCAUCAACUUCAUCUUCAACCACACGUGCACAUAAAAAGCCCAUGUUUC